UAUUAAAAAACUGGUUCAAUCCAAAUCCAAUACAAAGCUACUCACUAUUCACUUUCCUCGACGUUUGGUAGUGUGAGUAACUUAACGAACCGCGUCGCAGCUCUGUUAAUUUCCUCCCGUUUUCAAUGACGGCGCCACCACCGGCGAAGCCUUUAACACUUCAAGAAUGGGAAACCCUAAUGGAGAAUUUCCAAUCCGGUAAUGGAAUCGAAAAAUGGAACUCUCUCGAUCCGUCUCUCACCGAUCAUCUCUUAUCCUCUCUUCUCCGCAAAGACUUCCCUCUUCAACUCAAAUUCCAACUCCUUGUCUUCCUCGACGAAUUCUCCAUUUCCAUUUUCCAUUCCGAAAACCUCAACCGUCUCAUCGAAGCUCUCAAAACCGUUAUCCAAUCUCCUCCCGACGCCGUUCACAUCAGUCCUUUGUUCAAAGAGCAGUUUAUGAUUUCCGUCACUUCCGUUAUUGUUUGUUUCUCGGAAGAGGACAACGUUCAAACGGUAAUCGAGAGUUUAGUUGAACUUCUGUUGACGGUUAUUAACCGUCCGAAUUUUGGUUCCGACCGGCACACACGCGCCAUCGCAUGCGAGUGUUUGAGAGAAUUGGAACGAUCGAAACCGUGUUUACUUUCCGAUGUGGUUGGACAUUUGUGGAGUCUUUGCCAGAAUGAACGAACGCACGCUUCACAAUCCUACAUCUUGCUUUUCACAACUGUUAUUCAUAACAUCGUUGAUAAGAAACUCAGCAUUUCCAUUCUCAAUACAUCGCAUCCGCUGCUUCCGUUCAGCACACCUCAGUGUCUGAAUCGAGAGGAUUUUGGUUCGGAUUCCGGUUCGGGUCUGAAUACUAAGGAACUGAGGAGAGCUUUGGCAUUUUUGUUGGAGUGGCCACAAGUGUUGACCCCAUGUGGAAUGAUGGAGUUUGUAUCUAUGGUGAUAUCUGUAGUUGUGGCGUUGGAAUUGCAACCUUCAAUGCUUAAGGUUCAGUUGUUUGGAAUGAUUCAUUCUUAUGAUCCUCUUCUUUGCCAUGUCGUUUUGGCUAUGUUUAUGCAUUUCUUAGAUGCUUUUGAUGGUCAAGAAGGAGAGGUUUCUAGUAGGCUCUUGUUGAUUUCUAGAGAAUCUCAUCAUUAUUUAGUGUUUCGUCUGUUGGCAAUUCAUUGGUUGUUGGGUUUCAAUCAAUUGGUUUUCAAUAAACAAUCACGUACUGAGAAGAAGAUUGAGACUGGAAAUGAAGCUUGUUCCACUUUUUAUCCUUCUUUGUUUGAUCCGUUGGCUCUGAAAGCAUUGAAGCUUGACCUUCUUGCAUCCUGUUCUGUCUUGAGACAGAAAAGUGAUUCUGAUUAUAAAUCUAGUUCCCAUGAUGGUGAUGAUGGUUUGGUUAAUCCGGUGAAGGUGUUUGAACAGGGUCUCCUUUCUGUAUCAUCGUUCAAAUGGUUGCCUCCAGGGAGCACAGAGAUUGCAGUUGCAUUCCGUACCUUUCAUAAGUUUCUCAUAACUGGAUCGUCUCAUUCUGAUAGUGAUCCUUCCACAACAAGAAAUAUGUUGGACUCCAUGAUAUUUCGUACUUUGCAGGUGAUGCUUGUGAACAUGACUUUGGAGAGUCGGAGACUGGUUCCUGUUGUUGCUGCUUUUGUGGACCGUUUACUAUCUUGUAAGAAGCAUUCUUGGUUGGGCGAGCGCUUACUUCAGAAAUUUGACGAGCACUUACUUCCAAAAGUGAAAAUGGAUUAUAAGUUGGUUUAUUGCUUCCCAAUAUUUGAUAGAAUUGCUGAGAAUCUAACAAUACCUCCGCGCGGAUUGAUAGCACUACUCACAAACUUCAUGAUUUUUCUUGUGGAGAAACAUGGCCCGGAUACAGUAAUGAAAUCUUGGUCCCAAGGCAGUAGAGCUCUUGGUAUUUGUCGAACUAUGUUGGUACACCACCAUAGUUCUAGAUUGUUCCUUAGACUAUCUCGUCUACUUGCUUUUACUUGUCUCUUUUUUCCUGAUUUGGAAGUCCGUGAUAAUUCAAGGACCUACUUGCGUAUGCUGGUCUGCAUUCCGGGGAAAAAGCUUAGAGAUAUCCUGAGCCUGGGAGGCACGAUGCUUGGGAUUUCACCUUCUUCACACCAAACCACUUUCUUCAAUGUCCAGUCACCUCGACCUUCUCAGAGAUUCAAGACAUUUAAAAACCUAACAUCCUGCAUUCACUUUGAGCGUCUGACCCCAUUACUUGUUAAGCAGUUUUGGUCUUUGUCUUUAUCAAGUUUAGUCGUGAGUAAUAGCAAACCGGCUUAUUUGGAGGGCAUCAGGGACCUCGAACCCCCUAACGAGGAAAAUGAAUUUUCUGAUAGCUCCAAUUCACAGUUCAUUCCUGAAACUGGAAGAACAAAUCAACCAAAUGAGCCACUCCGUGUUAUGGACUCCAAAAUUGCAGAAAUUUUGAACAUGUUAAGGAAGUACUUUUCCCGUAUUCCUGACUUCAGAUAUAUGGCAGGGCUCAAAGUUAGCAUAUCGUGCAGUUUGAGAUUUGAAUCUAAUACUUUCAAUCGCAUGUUGGGAAUCAAUAACACUGCCACAGCCCAGGAAGAGAUAGACGCACUGCCCGCUCUGUAUGCUACUGUGUUACGUUUUUCAUCUUCUGCACCAUAUGGAUCGAUUCCAUCCUCUCAUAUACCUUUUCUUCUUGGUGAACCUUACAGUAAAGACCAUGCAUCUCAAAAUGCCCCCCUCAGUAUUGUUCCUGUAGGAAAGGAAUCCAGAGAAGAGGAAAAGUAUAGAGCUACUGUGGUGGUUGAUUUGGAGCCCAGGGAACCGACACCAGGUAUAGUUGAUGUCCACAUUGAAACAAAUACAGAAAAUGGUCAGAUCAUUCAAGGUCAACUUCAGGGAAUCACAAUAGGCAUUGAAGACAUGUUUCUCAAGGCCAUUGUUCCAUCAGACAUCGAAGAAAACGCAAGACCUCAGUACAACUUUAACUUGUUCACUGCUUUGUGGGAGGCAUGUGGCUCAUCCUCUAGCACCGGACGGGAAACCUUUCAAUUGAAAGGAGGCAAAGGGAUUGCUGCUAUUAGUGGAACACAAUCUGUCAAGCUUCUUAACGUCCCUGCAAACUCAUUGAUACAGGCAACUGAGCGCCAUCUGGCACGCUUUGUCGUAGGUGUGAGUGGGGAGCCACUCAUUGAUGCUGUAUGGGAAGGGGGAAUUAUUCAGAAUGUUAUUUGGGAAGAUGCUUCCCCUGAUGCCACUGCAGUUGCAAAUCAUGAUGCUGUUCCACUCCGUCUUACAUACAAUAAUGAAGAGUAUGAGAAGGGGAUAAUUAUCAAUAGCAAACAAAGCAACCUAGGCUGUUUUCUUGUUCUAAUAUUUCUUCCACCGCGGUUCCAUCUCCUUUUCCAAAUGGAAGUUGGCGAUGUUUCAACUUUAGUUCGUAUUCGCACAGAUCAUUGGCCUAGCUUGGCCUACAUUGAUGAUUAUCUAGAAGCUUUAUACCUAUCGUCAUAACAGCUGUUGUGUCAUCUACAUUGAUAACUACAUAAAGAUUACCAAUCCUCAAUCAGCUUGUGAUAAUAUUCUGUGAUAUGCUCUUUUUGAAGGGUUGCCCUGGGUCAAUCUUUUUUAUAAUGCUAUUUCAGACCGCCCCUGUAAUUGGCAUUGUUCUCGAAGUUGUCUUUAGUCUGCAGUGUGGCUUAAGGGAUACUUUCAGUUGCAGUUCAGUUGCAGUACCAGGCUGCCUUUAUAAUGGCCUCCUCCUUCGGUUCAAAUUAGACUAGAAGGUAGCACUGGCCAAUGACUUCUUUGAUGUAGACAUAUAAUGGAUAGUGUCAGACUGUUUUAUUACGGGGGUGAUAUAAUGGAACUUUUAGAUAGUGUGGUAUUGCCAGAGUACAUGGUCUUUUAGAGGAGUAAACACUAACUUCCUGCAAUAGAAAUGCGCUAUAAUAACAGUCCAUGCAGCAUUAUUCCGUUUUUCAUUUAAUUCCAUGCUGGCUAUUAUCUUAUAUUUUCUGUUUUUUGUGAGCUGUCAAUUGUUUUACAAAUCACAUGCUUAUGUGACAUGAGAGCUGGCAUUUCUUCAUUCCAUUUUGUUAUCCAUGCUUGCAAGGAUCAAACUGACAGUUAAUUAAAACAUAAUCUUCUUCCCAAUGUCCUUUAUUUGAAAGAACCCCAACCCUUAUUCCCCCAUUGUUGCUCUGAAUUGAGUCUGGAAUAAAAGAAAUAGAGUUAUGAUGUGAAUCGGUACACCAUUUUCCAAGUCUGUGAAGGUAGUACAUUAUUUUGAGAAGUGGUUCACCAUUUUGAAAGUCUGUGAAGGCGAAGUAAGCCUCUGCCUAAGAGUGGAGUCCAUCCUCUUUAUCAUGAGUAGAGGGGUUUUCGAAUGUACCUCAUUGCCACUGUGAAAAAGGUGUCUUUUAUGCAGAAUCAACACACGGAUGAACCCAAGAAGACAUUCUGUAUUCGAUUAUUCAACAAGUAUUGAUGACCAUGGAAAUUGCAAGUACUUUAUUUGGAAAGAUGAUUGAGAUGAAACUGGUGCAGCUCAAACAGAGACAUCUAAAAGAGAGUUUAAAUACAUAUUUGAAUGGAGGUUGGAAGAAAUAAUGCAAUUGAUGAUAUGUGGAAAGCAAAUCUGAAUUAUGAUCGACAGUUUGGUUGUUGACAUGAGGUUCAUGAAAUGUUUUUAUCUGCAUUGUUUGUGAUGCAAAUGUUGUUUAUGGCAGUUUGUCAGUACUUUAUGUAAUGGAUAUUAUAACAUUUGAAGUAAACGAGCAGAUGUGGUUUAGGGUGCAUGACAAACAAUUGAAUUGAAAUUGUGUUGAUGUUGUGUUUGACA